GCCACUCCCCUCUGGGGGAAGGCUGGCAAAUCCUAACACUCCUGUCAGUCUGAAAACUGGAGACGUUUCUUAAAAACAGCCGCUUCCUCUUCUACCCAGGCAGGUAGCCCUGGAGGAGUGGCCCGAUGCCCACGGGGCGAGGCCACAGCCGCUUGGGAAACCCAGGCUGGACGCCCAGGACGCAGGCUCCACAGUGGUUUUCAGAAACCACAGCUUUUGUGGGAAGAGACUAAGACUGUGUGUGAACUCAGAGCCACCACAGGACACUCGGCCGAGGUCAACUUCUGGAGGAAAGGAAAACUGCUCUCCUGAGCGUCACAGCAGAAAAACGGCAACAAGAAAAGGAAGCCAUGCCAGCGCUUCCAGGGCCACAAUCUCAGGACCUUCCUCCUCCUGAUCUCCCAAAGCCCAUCUACGCGUGAACUAUGGCAAGCUCACAGGUCUUUCCGCAGCUCCUCUCGGUCGCAUGCCUGCCUCUCACUGGGAAUUCAUGUGUCCGUAAGUUUACAUUAGUAGCAUCGUGGACGACUUACAGACUGUAGUGCUGCCUGUGAAGGGCACAGUCUCCUACCAAAACUGUUCUGAAUCCAUGCACUGGAA
rnacentral:lncRNA from 1 species